UUUGCAUGUUUCAGAUGAGUGUGUUCAGGAGAAAUGGUUCUACCCAACACAAUUAUUCGCUAAUAUAGUCUAUUUUUCUACUUACAAGCUUAUUUUAUGCACUGAAU